AAACGGCUGAACCAGAUGGUGCCUACCCCUAAAAAUUAACAGUUACAAGUAUCUGCAUUUUGUCGAAAGUUCUUCGGUAUAGCCCCCUCUCCAUCAAAGUAGAAGAGUGUUCGUUGCAUGUGACCAUUCAAUAAGGGCUUCGGCAA